rnacentral:rRNA from 1 species
UACGUAGGGCGCAAGCGUUGUCCGGAAUUAUUGGGCGUAAAGAGCUCGUAGGCGGCUUGUCACGUCGGGUGUGAAAGCCCGGGGCUUAACCCCGGGUCUGCAUUCGAUACGGGCAGGCUAGAGUGUGGUAGGGGAGAUCGGAAUUCCUGGUGUAGCGGUGGAAUGCGCAGAUAUCAGGAGGAACACCGAUGGCGAAGGCAGAUCUCUGGGCCGUAACUGACGCUGAGGAGCGAAAGCGUGGGUAGCGAACAGG